GCGUCCCAGCUGCAGCAAGUCCGCGGAUCUUGUAACUGGCGGCGCCGGUCGGAGGUACCCACGGGCCACCGUAGCUGGCAAGGUAAACAGAAUUCUGGGAAGCCCACUUCUGGUGUGUAGAAGCCCUGGGCUCCUCUGACCCCACACCUCCUGCUCCCUGUUGCUGGCUCCUUGCACUUUGAGCCUCACCUAGUUCCUCUGUGUGGACGGAGGUUUCCCAUCUAUCGCAGCCAUGAACUUCCUCCGGAGGCGUCUAUCCGACAGCAGCUUUGUGGCCAACCUGCCCAAUGGCUACAUGCCGGACCUGCAGCGCCCAGAAAGCUCCAGUAGCUCCCCAGCAUCCCCGGCCACUGAAAGGAGGCACCCCCAGCCCCUGGCUGGCUCCUUCUCUUCUCCAGGAUCCAGCCUGUUCAGCUCCUUCUCCAGUGCCAUGAAACAGACCCCACAGACCCCCUCGGGGUUAAUGGAACCACCAACUCCUGUCACACCCGUGGUUCAGAGACCCAGGAUCUUGUUGGUGAUCGAUGAUGCCCACACAGACUGGUCAAAGUAUUUCCACGGGAAGAAAGUGAAUGGCGACAUUGAGAUCCGAGUGGAGCAGGCAGAGUUCUCUGAGCUGAACCUGGCUGCUUAUGUUACCGGAGGCUGCAUGGUGGACAUGCAAGUUGUGAGAAAUGGCACCAAAAUCGUGAGGUCCUUCAAACCAGACUUCAUCCUGGUUCGACAGCAUGCCUACAGCAUGGCCCUGGCUGAGGACUACCGCAGCCUGGUCAUCGGCCUUCAGUAUGGAGGGCUUCCUGCUAUCAACUCUCUCUACUCUGUCUACAACUUCUGCAGCAAGCCCUGGGUGUUCUCUCAGCUCAUUAAGAUCUUCCGUUCUUUGGGUCCUGAGAAGUUUCCACUCGUGGAGCAAACAUUUUUCCCCAACCACAAGCCAAUGCUCACGGCCCCGCACUUCCCCGUGGUGAUCAAGCUGGGACAUGCCCAUGCUGGCAUGGGAAAGAUCAAAGUAGAAAACCAGCAUGACUACCAGGACAUCACUAGUGUGGUGGCCAUGGCCAAAACCUAUGCCACCACUGAAGCCUUUAUCGACUCCAAGUAUGACAUCCGCAUACAGAAGAUUGGAUCCAACUACAAGGCAUACAUGAGAACCUCCAUCUCUGGAAACUGGAAGGCCAACACAGGUUCUGCCAUGCUGGAGCAGGUGGCCAUGACGGAAAGGUACAGGCUAUGGGUGGACAGCUGCUCAGAAAUGUUCGGCGGCCUAGACAUAUGUGCUGUCAAGGCUGUCCACAGCAAGGAUGGGAGAGAUUAUAUCAUCGAGGUCAUGGACAGUUCAAUGCCUCUGAUUGGGGAGCAUGCGGAAGAGGACAAGCAUUUAAUGGCCGACCUUGUUGUCUCCAAGAUGAGCCAAGUCCUGGUGCCAGGGGGCACGGUGCCCUCACCCCUGAGACCUUGGGGUCCACAGACUAAACUUGCAAAAUCUCCAGGGCAAGGCCAGUUGGGACCUCAGCUAGGACAGCCCCAGCCAAGGCCGCCUCCCCAAGGGGGCCCUCGUCAAGCUCAGUCUCCCCAGCCUCCCAGAUCUAGAAGUCCAUCCCAACAGAGGCUUUCCCCACAAGGCCAGCAGCCUGUGAGCCCUCAGUCAGGAUCUCCACAGCAGCAGAGGUCACCAGGCUCUCCGCAGUUAUCCCGGGCAUCUGGGGGCACGUCUCCAAACCAGGCCUCCAAGCCAUAUCCCCGGCCACCUGUGCAAGGCCGCAGCACCUCCCAGCAGGGUGAAGAGCCCCAAAAGUCAGCACCACCUCACCCCCACCUCAACAAAUCUCAGUCCCUGACUAACAGCCUCAGUACGUCAGAUGCUUCCCAUCGAGGGACCCCAAGUGAAGACGAGGCCAAGGCUGAGACCAUCCGCAACCUGAGGAAGUCCUUUGCCAGCCUCUUCUCCGACUAGCCUCCUCCUCGGGCUGAAGAGCAGGAGGGCAGGAAGACUCGAUGACUGGAGACUUUCUCUGGCUCCCUCCUUCUCAGCCUCGGUUCCUGGUGGAAACACACUUCCUAGAUGCCUCUGACCCAGGAACUGAUGAUCUACGCGCAUUCCCACCUCCUUGACCGUGACGUUCCAAUGCCACCUGACUGAGCAGUAGUAGCCUUGAGGGCCACUGGGCUCCUCAGGGCAGACGUUCUAGACAGAUAAGACAUCACUACACCCACCGUAUGCUUGCUCCCCUGCCGACGGUACCCAGUAAGAUGUCUGUGUGGCUUGGUUUUGCAUUCUUAUUAGUGUUUUGCUUGCCUUUGGGCAGAGGCCCGCUUCGAAGCCUUGACUUACCUCCAUCAAAAGCAGACAUUGUAGUUGGACCUCAGCAACACAAGAGGCAAUACUUUUUAAUGGUGUUUUUGCAGACAGAAAUAGGGAAGCCCAGCCUAGGAGCCUACUACCCACCCAGAGCAAGCUAGUGCCAUCCUUGCUGGGAGUAGGCUAACAAAGGCCCCAUCGCAGCUGGACCUCCUAGGGAUCUUGAUGCCGAAAGAAAGAAGCUAGACCCUAUGCAACAAGUGGGGCCUUUCAGAACAGAGUAGAGGGACCCCUACAUAAUGCUACCCAGGCUUAGAGCCAACAGCAGGAAUCCAGAGGAGAAGAGCCUGUGCCCCCUGUGGAGAGGGUCAUAGGAUUGUGUCUCUUUGACCUCACACAGAAUUUGCUUUUCCCUCAAGGUUAGAUGGGAACCCAGAGGGAGUGGGUAGCUCCCUGUUGCAUGAGAAGACAUCGUGAGGGGUUCUAUAUGGUUCAGCAUUCUACCUGCUCUGAACAAGGUGUCAGUAAUGUAAAUAAUGUAAAUGCCCCCGCGUUUACGAAAGGUCUGGUGGGUCAACCUUCAGAAACAGUGCGUGUGUUUCUCUUUGUGGAACACAGAACACAGGACACACAUUGAAGCCUUUUGGAAUCUCUUCCAGAAAAAGUUCCACUCCAACCUGGUCUCGGCCAUUAUGACUCAGAUGGUUGGCUGCAGAGCUAGGCAAAGUGGUCCUGACUCCCCUUCCAGUGCGCAUAUGCCCCUUCCCCUGCACCAGACUGCUCCCGGAUCGCAUCACCAAGCACCUGGUGCUUGAAACACUGUAGGUUGCAGCAGAGCAGCAGCAUCCUGAUCCCGAGACGACCCAGGUUUUAAGAACACAGCCAUGCAGAUCUGCACAGCGCCCUCAGCCACCUGAGGUGUGUCUUCCCUGCACGCUGCAAGGGAGGGAAGGGUUAUUAAAGGGAGCAGUUUCUGGUUAUGCUCAAGUUCUGCAUAGCCUUGGUGAUCAUCUAAGGUUUUUCCAGGUCUCCAGGAACACAGAAGCAGCCACUAUGGUCUUUGCGGAGUUUUCUGCUUGUUUUCUUGGAACAGAGUUUCAUUCAGCAACUCGGGCUGAACGUAGCCCAAGCAAGUCUCAAAAUCAUGGUGACUCUUCUGCUUUAUCAGCCUCCCAAGUGCUGAGAUUUCCUGAAUGAACCACCACAUCCAGCAAGCAAUCAUCAUUUUUCUUUGUCCUCCCAGCCCAGACUGGAGUAGCAAAGACAAGGGUAGAGACCCUCUCCUGCCUUGGCUCACUUAGAACCCUGCAUUUCUGCAGAAUUGCACCUUCAAGCUGGUUUCCAGAAGGGAUCAGCUCAGCAUCAAAAGUGGCAGCUUUGGCCCUGGCUGCAGAGAUCCAUUUGGCCCUCAGGGUCAUCCUCUUCCUCCUUGCCUUCUCCUCCCUCAUGAUCAAGUCAAUAUCAAGAGCAAGCACGCUGGUUAUUUCAGAAGCCCUCCUUGGCCCGUUUCCACAUCCUUGGUUUGGAGGAAUAAACAGCUGGUGUGAUUCUACAUCGUGAAGGUCCAGAGACCACUGAGACCUUGGUUUGGAGCUGAAGACUGCAGGGCUUCGCCUAGUUGGAACUGACUAGACUGAGGAGCAAAUAGCCUGUGGUGUGAAGUGAGGCAUGAAUGGCUGGAGGUCUGCACUUCCCAGUACCAACCAAGCCCAACUCUUUUAUUCCUAAGUUCAGUGUGUGCAGGACGGUCCCUGGGGCUUGCCUACACCCACCCUGCCCACGUCGCCCUCAUUUUGCUCAACUGCUCUUCGAUCACAGAAUGAGGCUGGCAAAAGCUUCCAGAAUUCUUCUCGAGGAUGAUGGGGAUGACCCAGAACGAGGAAAGACAACUUGGCACAACAGUCAGCAGAUUCUCCUGUCCCUCACCCACUCCCUGAUGAGGGAAGAGGAGGUCUUGAGGCCAGCACUCCCAGCCAUGAUUUAGUGGUAUGGGGAGGAGAAGCUCCCAUUACUAAAAGGAGAACUUAGAGGCCAAGAAAGAUGGAAGGCUACUACAAGCCAACGCACUGGAGCGGCACCAUUCUCAAGCACUCGCGAGAGGCUUCUGGGCUGUCCUGCUCCCGUUACAAUGCAUGGAGAUGACAUCACAAAGCCACAGAGCGAAGAACCCGCUGCCAAGUCAGGAUCCCACCCAUUAUGUUAUCAGCAAUACACAAAAGCUCACAGUCUAAAGACAAGGGUGCAAGAUUUCCUAAGCUUCUAAAUAUAAAAUCAGCUGCCAGUCAAGAGAAAAUGCUUUGAGGACUCCUUAAUAAGAAUUUUUGAGAGGUGCCUACGUUUAGAUUGAGAGCACUCUUUCAGCAUCUUAAACUCAAACUUGCAACAUCUGCCAGUCAAGUUGAGUGAGGGUGGACCGGCACCAUCAGGGGCUCCCGGGCCUAUCUGGAAACGGCUGUGUUCUGAAAACUUGUAUUUGGUGCUCUGGUCUUCCGUUUCCCACGCCACGCGUGCACACACACUACAUGGGGCAACAACGUCCAGCUACAAAGACAUGUUUUGAGGUGGAAUCUUCAUGGUGACCCUUUCAACCAUACCCAAAUGAAGCCUAUGGUAUUCGGUGGGCAUUAAGAAGACUGUCCUAUAGAACACAGAAACCUAAGCAGCCCAGGAUCCUCUUCUUCAUUAAAGAUCACGUAGCUUAUAGAAAUAUCAGACUGAAUUUUCUUCACUGUGAUGCAAAGACUCGAAACACAUGGGUAGCAAAGUCUCACUUGAACACAGGACUAAUAUUCCUGCAGCAUACAUUCUAAGCCAUUUCCUAAUAUGCAAAACAGGUUUUUAAAAUCAGAAGACAGUGGGUGGCACUACUCCUAUUUCCUGCAGAUGCUAAUGGCAUUUUAUUCCUGUGCAGCAGUUCGAUUUCAAUUUGUCACUAUAGCAUGUUCCUAUAGUUAUUUGUGAAAGUCAUUUGUGUUUGGGCCUUUUCUUGUAGAAUAAAUAAAUGUUGAAUUUUUGAG